rnacentral:misc_RNA from 1 species
CGUUUGGCUGUACAUAAUUGUUCAAACUCCUGGUUCAGUUUGGGCAGUUAUGUUGAUGUUUUGAUUGUCAGUAUACGAAAUGUGAAUGAAAUUAUGGCUUUUCUAACAAAAGUAUUUAAAUUUACAGACAGUAUAUGUUUGUCAAAGAACUGGAGCUUGAGUAAUAAGAAUAACUGGCUUAUUGGAUGUGCAUACUUUACUAGCAAAGUCGAUAUUCCCUCUCCACCAAAGAGACCUCUUAGUGCUUACAUGUUAUUUUGUCAAGAACAUAGGCAAAAUGUGAUUAAAGAAAAUCCAAAAUUAAGUAGCUCAGAGCUAGUGAAGAAAUUAGCGGAAAAAUGGAGUCAUCUUAGUAAGGAUAUGAGGAAACCAUAUGAAAUCAGUGCUAGAGAAAAUACUUUGAUUUAUGGAGAAGCACACAAAAAUUUCUACGAGAACCUUACCAGUGAACAGAAAGAAGAGUUAGCAAGACUAAAAACUGAACAGAGGGAAGCUCGUCGUUUGGCAAAAUUAAAAAGAGCUCUCCGUGAAACAAAUCUACCAAAAUCUCCAGGAUCAGCCUACAAUUUGUUUGUGCGUUCGCAAGCAAAAAAACUUGACGUUAAGGAACGACAUGAAUUUAUAAAGGAAUGUGCUGAGUUGUGGAAAAAAAUGUCUGAAUAUGAGAAAAAGAUAUUUCUUGUUCAGGUAUAAAGUAUCAUUGUUUAGGUCUCAUGAUUAUUUGUCGAGAAUUUUAACUGAACUGUCAGUCAUAGUCUAUUCAUUCUCAGCAACAGCAGUUUAAAAAGGAAGCAGAACUAGAGAAAUUACGAUAUGCAGAUGAAAUAAAGAGUUGGAGAGAGCAAUUACUAAAAGAAGGCAAAUCUGACCUUGUCAGUUUAUAUAAUGAUAUGAAGGGACGGAGAAAACUGG